GGAUGUGAAGGCGAUCUGGCUGCGAUAUCUGUCACCCCAUUGAUCGCCAGGGUUGAUUCAGCUGGUCUGGCUGGCUAGGUGGGUGUCCCCUUCCUCCCUCACAGCUCCAUGUGCGUCCCUCCCAAAGCUACAUGCUCUGUUGAAGAGGACUGCCUUCCCAGAAUAGAGACAGACCAGGCAUAGGUCGAGGGUAUAGGAGUAGCUGCGCUCCCAUGCUAGAACCUCCAAACAAGCUCUCAAGAAUAUUAUGUUCUGGUGGGAGGAUAUGGAGAACUAAAUAGUUUAAUAAGCAGAUCCAUUAUACAAAUAAU
rnacentral:snRNA from 1 species